UUCAGCCUUGGAUUUUGGACUUAUUCUUGUUUUUGUUUUUUUGCAUGUGGAGCGUGUACAAGUGUUCCAGUUUUAUUAUCGAAGCCUUAGUAGUGUUUUGACACCACCAAGUGCCUUUGUUUUAAUAAAGAGAUAUUUUG